CAACGUUAAUCGGGGCAGGGUGAGUCGACCCCUAAGGCGAGGCCGAAAGGCGUAGUCGAUGGGAAACAGGUUAAUAUUCCUGUACUUGGUGUUACUGCGAAGGGGGGACGGAGAAGGCUAUGUUGGCCGGGCGACGGUUGUCCCGGUUUAAGCGUGUAGGCUGGUUUUCCAGGCAAAUCCGGAAAAUCAAGGCUGAGGCGUGAUGACGAGGCACUACGGUGCUGAAGCAACAAAUGCCCUGCUUCCAGGAAAAGCCUCUAAGCAUCAGGUAACAUCAAAUCGUACCCCAAACCGACACAGGUGGUCAGGUAGAGAAUACCAAGGCGCUUGAGAGAACUCGGGUGAAGGAACUAGGCAAAAUGGUGCCGUAACUUCGGGAGAA
rnacentral:rRNA from 1 species